UACGUAGGUGACCAGCGUUGUCCGGAUUUAUUGGGCGUAAAGAGCUCGUAGGCGGCUUGUCGCGUCGACUGUGAAAACCCGUGGCUCAACUGCGGGCCUGCAGUCGAUACGGGCAGGCUAGAGUUCGGUAGGGGAGACUGGAAUUCCUGGUGUAGCGGUGAAAUGCGCAGAUAUCAGGAGGAACACCGGUGGCGAAGGCGCACAUCUGGCCCGAUACUGACGCUGAGGCGCGAAAGCUAGGGGAGCAAACGGG
rnacentral:rRNA from 1 species